GAAAGCCUGUUGACUUAUCAACAUCUUCUGAAUGCAACUCAAACACUUUAAUUAAGCUAAGACUUC
rnacentral:tRNA from 2 species